AGUGAACGUUGGCGGCGUGGAUUAGGCAUGCAAGUCGAGCGAUCGUAGCAAUACGGGAGCGGCAAACGGGGUAGGAAUACAUCGGAACGUACCUUUUGGUUGAGAAUAGCGUUGGGAAACUGACGGUAAUACUCAAUAAAGUCGAGAGACCAAAGGUUUACUGCCGGAAGAGCGGCCGAUGCGAUAUUAGGUAGUUGGUGGGGUAAUGGCCUACCAAGCCUGAGAUGUCUAGGGGGUGUGAGAGCAUGGCCCCACCACUGGGACUGAGAUACUGCCCAGACACCUACGGGUGGCUGCAGUCGAGGAUCUUCGUCAAUGGGCGAAAGCCUGAACGAGCGACGCCGCGUGCGGGAUGAAGGCCCUUGGGUUGUAAAACCGCUGUCAGGGGGGAUGAAACCGUAAGGUUGACAGAGCCCAGAGGAAGCACGGGCUAAGUUCGUGCCAGCAGCCGCGGUAAU
rnacentral:rRNA from 1 species